ACUCCUACGGGAGGCAGCAGUGGGGAAUAUUGCACAAUGGGCGAAAGCCUGAUGCAGCAACGCCGCGUGAGGGACGACGGCCUUCGGGUUGUAAACCUCUUUUGGCAGGGAAGAAGCGAAAGUGACGGUACCUGCAGAAAAAGCACCGGCUAACUACGUGCCAGCAGCCGCGGUAAUACGUAGGGUGCAAGCGUUGUCUGGAAUUAUUGGGCGUAAAGAGCUCGUAGGCGGUUUGUCGCGUCUGCUGUGAAAACGCGAGGCUCAACCUCGCGCCUGCAGUGGGUACGGGCAGACUAGAGUGUGGUAGGGGAGAUUGGAAUUCCUGGUGUAGCGGUGGAAUGCGCAGAUAUCAGGAGGAACACCGAUGGCGAAGGCAGAUCUCUGGGCCAUUACUGACGCUGAGGAGCGAAAGCGUGGGGAGCGAACAGGAUUAGAUACCCUGGUAGUCCACGCCGUAAACGUUGGGAACUAGAUGUGGGGUCCAUUCCACGGAUUCCGUGUCGCAGCUAACGCAUUAAGUUCCCCGCCUGGGGAGUACGGCCGCAAGGCUAAAACUCAAAGGAAUUGACGGGGGCCCGCACAAGCGGCGGAGCAUGCGGAUUAAUUCGAUGCAACGCGAAGAACCUUACCAAGGCUUGACAUAUACCUGCAAAGGCUGGAAACAGUCUCCUCGCAAGACAGGUAUACAGGUGGUGCAUGGUUGUCGUCAGCUCGUGUCGUGAGAUGUUGGGUUAAGUCCCGCAACGAGCGCAACCCUCGUUCUAUGUUGCCAGCGCGUCAUGGCGGGAACUCAUAGGAGACUGCCGGGGUCAACUCGGA
rnacentral:rRNA from 1 species